rnacentral:rRNA from 1 species
UUAGCCUACGGGGGGCAGCAGUGGGGGAUAUUGCACAAUGGGGGAAACCCUGAUGCAGCGACGCCGCGUGAGUGAAGAAGUAUUUCGGUACGUAAAGCUCUAUCAGCAGGGAAGAAUAAUGACGGUACCUGACUAAGAAGCCCCGGCUAACUACGUGCCAGCAGCCGCGGUAAUACGUAGGGGGCAAGCGUUAUCCGGAUUUACUGGGUGUAAAGGGAGCGUAGACGGUGAUGCAAGUCAGAAGUGAAAGCCCGCGGCUCAACUGCGGGACUGCUUUUGAAACUGUAUGACUGGAGUGCAGGAGG